rnacentral:lncRNA from 1 species
GGAGGAGAACCCCUUAUAUAUUAGAUUCAAAAAAAAGUCAAAAAAUCAAAUGAUUACACAGCCCACUUCGCUCCGCUGCUCUGCCGAAAAACGAUACGAGAAAUUCGAAAGAACUCAGAUACAGAACGAGGGCGGCCAAAAAAAGAAAGAGCUUCGCUCGGUGCGCCUUCCUACGCUGACGAAUGCCUCCUUUCUCUUCUCUUCAGUCUACAACAAGUGGGAGAG